CCUUGUGAAAGAAUUGAAUUA
rnacentral:piRNA from 1 species